rnacentral:lncRNA from 1 species
GAGCUCCCCUAGGUCCGCUCCACCUCCCCCUCCGUCCAGAAUCGGCGCUCCCGCCCUCCACUGUCCCCGUGACUAGCUAGGGUUUCGGCCGCCACCCCCAACAUCGCCGGGAUCAGCCACAUCCGGCGACGGCGAGGCCAGAGCUCGACGAAUCCGUUACCGGUGUGUCGCAGGUACGUCCUUCCCCUCUUUCCUCGCCCAGAUCCACCCUCCCCACCUCACCUUCUCCUUUCCUUCCCUUGCUGCAGGUCACCUUGGCGCGGUCUGGACGACGACGACGGCAGGAGGGCGCCGUCCUUCCUACUGGCGCACCUAGCUGGCGGCCCUGUCCUGCUCGAGGAGGCGGGCUGUCUAGCUCAAGCACGGCCACGACGACCCACCUCGGCAGGUAGCACCUCCAUCUCCUCCGCCUCCUUCCUCUGCUCACUACUGCUGCUGCUAAGUAGAGGAAUAUGUGAUGCCAAAUCCUCUUGUGUGAAGGAAUUCUAGAGGGAUUUGUAUGAACAAGUCCUUUAUUUAUUUAUUUGUCUAGUGAGUACCAAACAGAGAGAGAAGAUGAGUUUAGAAUCCUGGUUCUUUAGUUAGAUAGUACCAAUAGGGAUUGGUUAAUUUUGCUGCUACAACUCGAACGGAGAUGAUGAGCGAGGUGGAGUAGAAGGUGAUGAAAGUCGACGCAACGCUGAGCCAAACCCACUCCUUGCCGACGCAACCUAGCUGUGGUUCUCUUAAGUCACGAAGCUAGAUAUAUCCUUCACCGGUAGCUAGUUUGAUCUAUCCUGAUGGACAAGCUAACAUACAUAGCAGUAGUUGCUUUUUUUAUCAUUCCCCCACCGGCCAGAGCACAACGUACACACAGAGAGAGAGCAAAUCUCUAGUUAGCUUUUUUUUAGUUUGUCCUCUAAUUAGCAGAAACUACUCAUUCUUACUCCCCGCAGGUGGCUGGCAGUAUCAUCCUUGAUCUAUAUUUUUUGGAUGGUUAGUCAAAGAGCAUGUGAUUAAUAAAUUAGAGGAAGUGCAGGUUACUUUGUUGUUUCCCCUAGAUCUGUUCUCACGAACAUGCAUAUGCAUCACACUAAUCUGCUUCUUCAUAAUUAUUGAAUCCAAGCAUGUAAGUCGCUAUAGCAUUUGCACAUCAAUCCAGAUAUGUUUCAUUACUCCAGUUUCUACCUUUAGUUUUAUAUAUGGGCUAGCUACUACAUAAUUUAAUUACUCUGCAUAUUUUGUAUUACCUGAACAUGGAUAAAUUGCAUGUAAAAUUUUGGUUCCCAUAGAUCUCUCGGUUGAGUCAAGGACUCUAGGUAGCAAUUUUUUCUAUCUCAAUUUCAUUUGCUAUAGUCAGUUACUAUUUCGCAUUAAUAUGUUCAGAUUCCCAGGUAUGAUUAAUUGAUCAUAUGUACCUUUGGAUCUUCCAAAACAAUCAACAUUUUAUCUGCGCUAUUUUCUUUCACAUUUGCCAUUUUGUUCAUAUCUGUAGAUCUAUUUAUAUAUAUUGUUUUUUUGUUUCUGCCAACCCACAUAUGCAUCAAUUUGAAUGAACUUAAAUUUGAUCCUUUAUUUGGUAUUACCUACAUAAAAUUGAUUAUCCAUCUCUUCUUUGAUGCACAGGUAGGUACCGCUGAUGUACUGGAGCCUUGAUCUUAAUUUUUCUUCAUUGGUAAUAAUAUCAUCUCUCAAGAAGUCCUUUACAGAUAUAUGUAGUACAGCGGGUCAUUAUUUAUUUGUUGCUGUGAUGUCGAGCUCUGUUUUCUUUAUUAUGACAAGUUGCAAAAUUAGUAGUGGGAAGUAAACUUUUGUUAACUUGUUGGCUGAACCAAUGGAACUACUGUUAUUUUUGAUUUGCUGCUCAACUAGUGCUGCAAUGAUGGAACCGAUGAUUGUGCAUGAUGCAUCCAUCCAUUCUAUCGGAGUGGCUGUGUUUUUUUCUUCUUGUGCUAAGAUUGAUAGCAUCACAUAUCCUAUUAUUUUGUUUCUCCAGUAGAGCCUUGUGAGUUGAUGUGUCUGCCACCGUCCUCGAAUGGUUGUGCAAUAAUAAUGGUCCUAGCUAAUUACUAGUAUGUGCUGUUGCUAAAACAACUUGCUCCUCGAUUAGCAACAACAACAACCACGCUUUGGUUCCCCAAAAUUCAGAUGGCACUUGCAUCUCUACAUACACACACAUAUGAAUAUGCACCUCGGUUUGGUUCAGUUUGCAUGUUUACAUUUGCUUUAACUUUGACUGAAACUAUCUUGGUGGCACUUGCAUCAAUGGUGUGUUCUGCCCUUGUAGAUGUCCUUGGAGAAGAUGGCCAUUGGAGUGUAGGGGAGGAACAACCUUGUCUUGCUCGAGGAGGACCACCCGAUCUCGACGACGGCACGACAACAGGCUGUUGUGGAGCCUUAGAAUGGGAAUGUUAUGUACAUAAAAAAUAUUCUAUGGUCUGUGUUUGCAAAUCCAUGGUUGUUGAAUCAUGUCUAUAUAAGCAUUUGUAAAUAGCUAGCCUUUUUGGCUAAUCUUUUUUUUUGGUUCUGGUGAGCAAGUAUGCCGACGGCAAUGCCGUAGGCAUAGAUGGCUCUCGUGAUACCAGCAGCUGCCAUGUGGCGUGUAUGCCUACGGCAAAGCCGUCGGCAUAGUUUUGCAUC